AGAGUUUGAUCCUGGCUCAGGAUGAACGCUGGCGGCGUGCCUAACACAUGCAAGUCGAGCGGUAUAUAUUGGAAUGAAACUUCGGUCGAGUGAAGAUAUAGAGAGCGGCGGACGGGUGAGUAACGCGUAGGCAACCUGCCCCAUACAGAGGGAUAGCCUCGGGAAACCGGGAUUAAAACCUCAUAAUGCGAGAGGUCCACAUGGACUUUUCGCCAAAGAUUUAUCGGUAUGGGAUGGGCCUGCGUCUGAUUAGCUAGUUGGUGGGGUAACGGCCUACCAAGGCAACGAUCAGUAGCCGACCUGAGAGGGUAAUCGGCCACAUUGGAACUGAGACACGGUCCAAACUCCUACGGGAGGCAGCAGUGGGGAAUAUUGCACAAUGGGCGAAAGCCUGAUGCAGCAACGCCGCGUGAGCGAUGAAGGCCUUUGGGUCGUAAAGCUCUGUCCUUGGGGAAGAAAAAAAUGACGGUACCCUUGGAGGAAGCCCCGGCUAACUACGUGCCAGCAGCCGCGGUAAUACGUAGGGGGCAAGCGUUAUCCGGAAUUAUUGGGCGUAAAGAGUGCGUAGGUGGUUUUGUAAGCGCGGGGUGAAAGGCAAUAGCUCAACUAUUGUAAGCCCUGCGAACUGUGAGACUUGAGUGCAGGAGAGGAAAGCGGAAUUCCUAGUGUAGCGGUGAAAUGCGUAGAUAUUAGGAGGAACACCAGUGGCGAAGGCGGCUUUCUGGACUGUAACUGACACUGAGGCACGAAAGCGUGGGGAGCAAACAGGAUUAGAUACCCUGGUAGUCCACGCCGUAAACGAUGAGCACUAGGUGUCGGGGCCG
rnacentral:rRNA from 1 species